CCUCAUGACUUAUGUAUUACACAAUAUUCAAUGUAAAGGUUGACUACUGAAAGCGCAGUUUCAUUUAAAAAAAUUCGGAUACAAAAAUUUUCAGUUUAAGAUAAAAAUUACGAAAAGCAAUAUGUUAUUCCAAAAUAGAAAGCUAUUUUAUAAUAUGAAGAAAUGUUCAUGUGUUGGGUGGAGAAUCCAAAUAGAAACAAAUAUACAGAUUUGAUUUAUCAUCAAUCGCAUGGAAGAUUAAAGAAUGAAUUGAAAGGAACGUUGAAUCUGAAAGGAACGUUUAGCAAUUCAAAGCAGCAAUAUAUAAAGUUUAAUAUGACUAUAAUAAAGGUGCUAAAGAAAAAGUACGUAUGAGAAGAGAUUACAGGACAAUACUCUGAGACUCAUAUGUAUGAUUUGUGCACUUCUUGUGAAUCAUCAAUUCUGAUUUAAUUUUUACUUCAGGAUUAUUUAAAGCUAUUUCGCAGCAUGUUGUACGAAACUAGCAAAAUAAAAUAAUCUUAAUUUUGAAA